UUCGGGGCGAUACACGAGUGGCGAACGGGUGAGUAACACGUGGGUAAUCUGCCCUGCACUUCGGGAUAAGCCUGGGAAACCGGGUCUAAUACCGGAUAUGAGCUCCUGCCGCAUGGUGGGGGUUGGAAAGUUUUUCGGUGCAGGAUGAGUCCGCGGCCUAUCAGCUUGUUGGUGGGGUAAUGGCCUACCAAGGCGACAACGGGUAGCCGGCCUGAAAAGGUGAUCGGCCACACUGGGACUGAGACACGGCCCAAACUCCUACGGGAGGCAACAGUGGGGAAUAUUGCACAAUGGGGGAAAGCCUGGAGCAGCCACGCCCCGUGGGGGAAGACGGGCUUUCGAUUGGAAACUCCUUUCAAUAAGGAACAAACCAAAGUGACGGUACCUGGCGAACAAGCACCGGCCAACUACGUGGCAACCGCCGCGGUAAUACGUAGGGUGGAAACGUUGUCCGGAAUUACUGGGCGUAAAGAGCUCGUAAGCGGUUUGUCACGUCCUCCGGGAAAUCCUCCAGCUCAACUGGGGGCGUGCAGGCGAUACGGGCAGACUUGAAUACUACGGGGGAGACUGGAAUUCCUGGUGUAGCGGUGAAAAGCCCAGAAUAUUAAGAGGAACCCGGGUGGCCAAAGUGGGUCUCUUGGGUAGAACUGGACCUUGAAGAGCUAAAGCCUGGGGAGCAACCUGAAUAAAUUCCCUUGGUAACCCAGGCCGAAACUGUGUGGCCGCUAGGUGUGGGCGUCCUUCCCCGGAAUUCCGGGCCGAUAGCUAACAAUUUAAUCGCCCCCCGCGUGGAAAUAAAGGCCCGCCAGGGCUAAACGUAAAGGGAUU
rnacentral:rRNA from 1 species